UGUGAACUGCAGGACACAUGAACAUCGACAUUUCGAACGCACAUUGCGGUCCACGGAUACAAUUCCCGGACCACGCCUGGCUGAGGGUCGUU
rnacentral:rRNA from 1 species